UACGAAGGGGGCUAGCGUUGUUCGGAAUCACUGGGCGUAAAGCGCACGUAGGCGGAUUUUUAAGUCAGGGGUGAAAUCCUGGAGCUCAACUCCAGAACUGCCUCUGAUACUGGGAAUCUUGAGUCCGGGAGAGGUGAGUGGAACUGCGAGUGUAGAGGUGAAAUUCGUAGAUAUUCGCAAGAACACCAGUGGCGAAGGCGGCUCACUGGCCCGGUACUGACGCUGAGGUGCGAAAGCGUGGGGAGCAAACAGG
rnacentral:rRNA from 1 species